CGCGGGGUGGAGAAGUGGUAUCUCGCAAGGCUCAUAACCUUGAGACGCCGGUUCAAAUCCGGCCCCCGCAACAA
rnacentral:tRNA from 2 species